CCCCAGACUCCUACGGGAGGCAGCAGUGGGGGAUAUUGCACAAUGGGGGAAACCCUGAUGCAGCGACGCCGCGUGGGUGAAGAAGCGCCUCGGCGCGUAAAGCCCUGUCAGCAGGGAAGAAAAUGACGGUACCUGAAGAAGAAGCCCCGGCUAACUACGUGCCAGCAGCCGCGGUAAUACGUAGGGGGCAAGCGUUAUCCGGAUUUACUGGGUGUAAAGGGGGCGCAGACGGCGAUGCAAGCCAGGAGUGAAAGCCCGGGGCCCAACCCCGGGACUGCUCUUGGAACUGGGUGGCUAGAGUGCAGGAGGGGGAGGCGGAAUUCCUGGUGUAGCGGUGAAAUGCGUAGAUAUCAGGAGGAACACCGGUGGCGAAGGCGGCCUGCUGGGCUUUAACUGACGCUGAGGCUCGAAAGCGUGGGGAGCAAACAGGAUUAGAUACCCUCGUAAA
rnacentral:rRNA from 1 species